AAACGGGUGGUAAUGCCGGAUGCUCCGACUCCUCGCAUGGGGUGUCGGGAAAGAUUUCAUCGGUAUGGGAUGGGGUCGCGUCCUAUCAGGUAGUCGGCGGGGUAACGGCCCACCGAGCCUACGACGGGUAGCCGGCCUGAGAGGGCGACCGGCCACAUUGGGACUGAGAUACGGCCCAGACUCCUACGGGAGGCAGCAGUGGGGAAUAUUGCACAAUGGGCGCAAGCCUGAUGCAGCGACGCCGCGUGCGGGAUGACGGCCUUCGGGUUGUAAACCGCUUUUGAUCGGGAGCAAGCCUUCGGGUGAGUGUACCUUUCGAAUAAGCACCGGCUAACUACGUGCCAGCAGCCGCGGUAAUACGUAGGGUGCAAGCGUUAUCCGGAAUUAUUGGGCGUAAAGGGCUCGUAGGCGGUUCGUCGCGUCCGGUGUGAAAGUCCAUCGCUUAACGGUGGAUCUGCGCCGGGUACGGGCGGGCUGGAGUGCGGUAGGGGAGACUGGAAUUCCCGGUGUAACGGUGGAAUGUGUAGAUAUCGGGAA
rnacentral:rRNA from 1 species